rnacentral:rRNA from 1 species
CAUCCGCUUUGAGAUGGACCCGCGGCGCAUUAGCUAGUUGGUGAGGUAACGGCUCACCAAGGCGACGAUGCGUAGCCGACCUGAGAGGGUGAUCGGCCACAUUGGAACUGAGACACAGUCCAGACUCCUACGGGAGGCAGCAGUGGGGAAUAUUGCGCAAUGGGGGAAACCCUGACGCAGCAACGCCGCGUGAAUGAUGAAGGCCUUCGGGUUGUAAAGUUCUGUCUUCUGGGACGAUAAUGACGGUACCAGAGGAGGAAGCCACGGCUAACUACGUGCCAGCAGCCGCGGUAAUACGUAGGUGGCAAGCGUUGUCCGGAUUUACUGGGCGUAAAGGAUGCGUAGGCGGACAUUUAAGUCAGAUGUGAAAUACCCGAGCUUAACUUGGGUGCUGCAUUUGAAACUGGGUGUCUAGAGUGCAGGAGAGGUAAGUGGAAUUCCUAGUGUAGCGGUGAAAUGCGUAGAGAUUAGGAAGAACACCAGUGGCGAAGGCGACUUACUGGACUAUAACUGACGCUGAGGCAUGAAAGCGUGGGGAGCAAACAGGAUUAGAUACCCUGGUAGUCCACGCCGUAAACGAUGAGUACUAGGUGGUCGGGGGUCGAACCUCGGUGCCGCAGUUAACACAAUAAGUAUUCCGCCUGGGGGAGUACGAUCGCA